GUGCCAGCAGCCGCGGUAAGACAGAGGGUGCAAACGUUGCUCGGAAUCACUGGGCGUAAAGCGCGUGUAGGCGGGUAGAUAAGUCAGAUGUGAAAUCCCUGGGCUCAACCCAGGAACUGCAUUUGAAACUGUCUGCCUUGAGUGUCGGAGAGGAAAGCGGAAUUCCUGGUGUAGAGGUGAAAUUCGUAGAUAUCAGGAGGAACACCGGUGGCGAAGGCGGCUUUCUGGACGACAACUGACGCUGAGACGCGAAAGCGUGGGGAGCAAACAGGAUUAGAAACCCUGGUAGUCC
rnacentral:rRNA from 1 species